CUGGGACAUGAAGGUGGUCUAUGCAGGGCACCAGCUUUGUGCUUUGAAGAGUUAACUUUCAACCAGUGUAGCAGAAGUACUUCCCCAAGUCAUCAGCCACAUCUGCCUGGGGUGAUAAAUCCUGAAGAAGAGGACCAGAAGGAUAAAUGGCCCUUACUAGUUCCGCCCCUGUCUCUCUAGUGGGCUCUGUCUUGUCUUUGUGUACCUACUUGUAAGUUUAGUUCUUUAACUUUUUAUUGAUUCUUUUGUUAAUUUCACAUCAUGCACCUGAAUCCUAUUCAUCUCCCUGUCUCUAUAUCCACCCUCUGCCCUAGCAUCCUCUCCGCAAAAGAAAACAAAUGAGCAAACAGAACACCUCGCUGUGGAAGCUGUGCUGUGUCACGCUCUCCACCACUGAUCUGCUCAUUUUAAUGGUACCCAGGGCCUCUGGGGGGGUCUGGGUCCUCUCAGGCAGGCUCUGCUCACCCAGCCUUGUGGCACUGAGUAGUGGUCUUCUCCAUAUUUAAUAUUACUUUUGCCUGACAUAUGAGUAC